CUACUAAUUGAGGGCAUAUAUAAUGCACGUGACAAUCUAUAGCCCCUGCUGUUACAAUCAACCCUUCUCCAGCAAUAACUUCAGUAUUAGCCUUGAUAUGGAUGACAUGCAAAUAAGUUGUGUCAAGAUAAUGGUGUAUGAAUUCAGUUAAUUGCUUCAGAUCUUUGGAUGGGAACUUACCCCAAUGAUCAUAUUAAAAAAUACAUCAUCCAUGAUGUCUGGAUUUCCUGCUUUUCCAAUUGAAACAAUGAGACCAUCUUUAAUGCCUAUAUCCGCUUUGAUGAUUCCACUAUAAUCAAUUAUCACAGCAUUUGUUAUAACAGUAUCCAAGGAGAUUGCAGGUGGAUGCCCACAUGACUGACCCAUUCCAUCUCUUAA
rfam:Glycine soja cultivar W05 scaffold2692_2, whole genome shotgun sequence.